rnacentral:rRNA from 1 species
GAUGAACGCUGGCGGCGUGCCUAAUACAUGCAAGUCGAGCGGACGGACGAGAAUUUUGCUUCGCUGAUGUUAUCGGCGGACGGGGGAGUAACACGUGGAUAACCUACCUAUAAGACUGGGAUAACUUCGGGAAACCGGAGCUAAUACCUGAUAAUAUUUUGAACCGCAUGGUUCAAAAGUGGAAGGCGAUCUUGCUUUUACUUAUAGAGGGAGCCGCGCUGCAUUAGCUAGUUGGUAAGGUAACGGCGUACCAAGGCAACGAUGGAUAGCCGACCUGAGAGGGUGAUCGGCCACACUGGCACUGAGACACGGUCCAGACUCCUACGGGAGGCAGCAGUAGGGAAUCUUACGCAAUGGCCGAAAGCCUGACGGAGCAACGCCGCGUGAGUGAUGAAGGUCUUCGGAUCGUAAAACUCUGUUAUUAGGGAAGAACAUAUGUGUAAGUAACUGUGCACAUCUUGACGGUACCUAAUCAGAAAGCCACGGCUAACUACGUG